rnacentral:rRNA from 1 species
GGAUGCGAUCAUACCAGCACUAAAGCACCGGAUCCCAUUAGAACUCCGAAGUUAAGCGUGCUUGGGCGAGAGUAGUACUAGGAUGGGUGACCUCCUGGGAGGUCCUCGUGUUGCAUUCC